rnacentral:lncRNA from 1 species
AUCUUCCUCUCUCUGCCUCCGGAUGCCUGCCUCAGAGAUGUGUCUCACCAUUUCCCCAUCAACCUCUGAUGCUGACUCACAAGCAAGCGUCUGAGUAUGAAAGAGCUUGGUGGUCUCCUGUGAGAGCUAAGAACAUGAUGUCUGUCCUGGGUACACUGCAGUUGGGUCUGUAGGAGGCAGCGGCCCUGAGUCAAGACAGUCACCCUGCUGUGCAUGACAAAGGAACCAGCUGUGUUCACAGAACAGGCUGCAGUGAACCUCAUCCUUGUUCCUGGCUGCCUGAGCUUGUGGCUUGGAAUCCUGUGGUUGAAGGCAGGCUUAAGGAGACCUGGGUCCUGGCCCCAGUCUUGUGUCUAA